AUAAAAAGUAUAUGAUUUCAAUUCACAAAGAUUAGGAGAAAUGCACACAGUACAAUUCUGAAUAAAAAAAAAGUGUGCUAAAUGGUAAAUUUCUUGCCGAUGUCACAAUUACUUAGUUUGAGCUAAUGUUGUUACCAGCUUGUAAAAGCUCAAAUAUUCAACAAAUAUUUUGCAACUAAAAAGACCAUGAAACAUCUUGCCUAACCCGCAAUACACCUACAUGCACAUAUCAGCUAAAAGUAUGGGAAUAGUGGAUGAAUAGGGAUGGCGGUGGUAUGGACAGUGGCAUGGCGAUAGUGGGGGGUGGUAUGGGAAGCAGUGUGAUGAUGGUUGCAGGUUUGGAGCAAGCAUUGUGGUGGUGUGAGCACCAGCAUGGGUUGAUGGUACUGUACUGGCAGCAGCAUAUCAGUUUGUAUCACAAGCCAAUACAUAGGCUUCCUUGUGCCCAAUCAUGUCGACCUCUAACGGUGAGACAGCUUGGGUCAGUGUUCAUUUACUUGACAUCUGUCCAGCUGUUCACAUCUCUCUCUUAGACCUGGCCUUGCUCGUGUACUAAUAUGUUCAAUCUAAUGUGCCCACUGUCAAGAAAUCCCAGUAAGCCAAGCUAUGUUUACCUCCAAUCCACACUAUGUUACUCAGCACUUCCACUGCCUAAUCUUUAACUGCUUAUAGCCAAGCAGGAUUGGCUAAGCAACCCACAAGACAUUAGUUGCAGCGGUAUUAGUUUGUAAAACACUGGUGGCAGCAGUGUUCCUAGUCAGCAUGUUUCAGCCAGGCCAAGGAGAGAAAACAAUACUUCAGCACAGUUGCACACAACUUGUCCAGUGGCAGCAGUGUUCCCAGUCAGCUUGUUUCAGCCAGGCCAAGGAGAGAAAACAACACUUCAGCACAGUAGCGCACAACUUUUCCAUCUCCGUCAAAAGUCAAUGGCACCAUUUAGCCAUGAAGGUCAAGAACGGUGGCGCCACUAGUCACUACUCUGCCAUCCACCACACCACCAACACCUCCAGCUCUUCCAGUUCCACAACCUGUGGUAACAAACUUGGAUUACUCCAAUUUCAUGACAUUGUUUUGUGGUGUUGCUGCUGGUGAUGAGAUCUCUAAAGACCUGCAGCUGCCCACAACAUGGACUUCACGACACAGCAGCUGCCCACAACAUGGACUUCACGACACAGCAGCUGCCCACAACAUUGACUUCACGACACAGCAGCUGCCCACAACAUGGACUUCACGACACAGCAGCUGCCCACAACAUGGGGAAUAUCUUCAACCUACAGGAUUCGAUGUACUUAAGAUCCAUUAAUUAAAAUGUAAUAAAUAAAGUCUUUUCUUUAUCACAGCAAUGUUCAAGGAAAAACA